AACUUACCUAUAACGUUGCUUCGGCGGGAACAGACGGCCCCGUAAAACGGGCCGCCCCCGCCAGAGGACCCCUAACUCUGUUUUUAUAAUGUUUUUCUGAGUAAGCAAGCAAAUAAAUUAAAACUUUCAACAACGGAUCUCUUGGCUCUGGCAUCGAUGAAGAACGCAGCGAAAUGCGAUAAGUAAUGUGAAUUGCAGAAUUCAGUGAAUCAUCGAAUCUUUGAACGCACAUUGCGCCCGCCAGUAUUCUGGCGGGCAUGCCUGUUCGAGCGUCAUUACAACCCUCAGGCCUCCGGGCCUGGCGUUGGGGAUCGGCGGAGCCCCCCGUGGGCACACGCCGUCCCCCAAAUACAGUGGCGGUCCCGCCGCAGCUUCCAUUGCGUAGUAGCUAACACCUCGCAACUGGAGAGCGGCGCGGCCACGCCGUAAAACACCCAACUUCUGAA
rnacentral:misc_RNA from 1 species